rnacentral:misc_RNA from 1 species
GAAAUGCGAUACGUCAUGCGAAUUGCAAAACCAGUGAGUCAUCAAAACUUUGAACGCAACUUGCACUUCCCAUUCGGGGAGUAUGUCUGUUGGAGUGCUUGUUCAUCCCCACCAUCAACCCCAUUCCUUAACAAGUUUGGCGUGUUCGAUGAAGACCGCCUCUUUGUCCUCCGGGAUAAAUAGAGCGUAGAUGAAUAAACAAUCAUAAUAUCCGAUCCUCGAUUCGUUGUCUAACGACAUCAGGAACGCGACGUCAUAGUGUAAAAACUUUCGAAUCGUGUUUACUGAAGAUGAGAGAUUAGUAUCAGAUAUUUUUCGAUCGAGCCUCCAAUCAGUCAAGAAUACCCGCUGAAUUUAA